rnacentral:misc_RNA from 1 species
UCUUAUAUAACUAUAAGUCGCAAUCUCAACUCCUUCGAAGUCUACUAUUCUACUGUCUAGUGUCUACACUACGACUACGGUCGUCACGAAAGUACGACACCACUUAAAGUUGCAAUGUAGUUAGUUUCUAGAAUUUAAUGAUCUUUAAAUAACAAAUAAAUAACUAUAAUUAAUAAUAUGUAAAACAAUCUUAAUUUAGUUUAAAUAUUGAAGUUAAUAAUAAUAUUUUAGAUUUUGAAUUUAUUUGUAUUCAGGAGAGAUUUUAUUCGUCACUGGUAAUUUGAAGUUAUUUCUAUCAAGAUUAAUUUUCAGUUAAAUUUAAUGGCGUUAACAUUUGGUGAUAAUAUACAUACUAAAACUUUCACUCCUCAAGAAUACCUAGUUGAAGUUCUAAGUUCAGCUAAAAACAAAAAUGUAAUUAUUUCAUUAGGAGGUAUAACAAAUAAAGUAUUUGUUAUUUUGAAUCUUAUUCGAGAACUUGCCUUUAAAAUUCACAGGAAAUUUGAAAAAAAAAAAUGGACUUUACUAAUUUUAGAAGAAACAGAAAUUGAUCAAUACAUGUUUUCUAUCCGGCAUUUGACCAAUUUAAAACCAUUAUUGAUUAAAUCAUUCAAUCAUUUGAAUUUUAAUAACUAUGAAGUAAUUGUUAUUACUGAAAACCAAUGCUUAGAAAUGCUUGAAAAAAAUUAUAUAGAUUUUGAUCAGCUGAACUUAGUUAUAUUCAAUAACUGCCAGAAAAUAACUGUGAAAAAUAGUACUUAUUUUAAGAUUUGUAACUUUAUCAAGGCUAAUAGCAAAUGUAGAAUUUUAGGGAUUGUUCAUCCAUUAUUUGAAUUUGAUUCUGAUCCAUUCUUCAUUGAAGAUCAAAUGAAAUUUAUAUCGAAUAAAUUGUUUUCAUCUAUCGAGACUGCCAGCGAUAUUGUUUCUAUUUUACGCCACUGUUGUAAACCUAAAGAAGUUCUCAUUGAAUGUGCUGUUCAAACGGAAGAUGUUAUCAAUACUACAAUAAAAUCUAUGGUACAAAGCUUAACUGAAUUUUUAAAUGACCAUAACUUUGAGCCUGCUAUCAUAUAUGAAGAUGAUGAAGAAUAUGGUGAAGAAUUAAAACAAAUAACUCACCCUAAAAAUGAACCCUUACAAAUGAUAGCUGAUUUUUUGGAUGUUUUAAAAACAAUGGGUCCAUAUUGUGCAGAUAAAGCUGCUUUGACACUUCUAUACAUGGUAGAAAAAUUAAAAGUUAAAACAAAAUAUGAAAGACAUUAUAUUUUGCUGUGUAUUGUUUCUACAUUAUUGAUUCAAAUAAGAGCAACGUUUGAUGAUAUUUUCUAUAAUUAUAGUAAUAUUGAUAAAAUUCUUAAAUUUAGUUCCCCUCGUGUGCUACGAAUUAUUAAUAUUCUCAAACAAUAUAAACCAAAAUCUUUUAGAGCAGAUAAUAACAAUGUUGAAGUGUGUAAUGAUCAAAAAGAAAAAAAAGAUAGGACCUUAAAAUCUAAAUCAGUAAGACGUAAUUGGAAAUUAGCUAGAAGAUAUGGAACUCAUAGAAAACAAGGACGAUCAAGAGAUCAAUACGAAGAGACUGUUUGUGCUAUAGUUCUUGUAAACAACAAAAUGACAGCUUCUAUUUUGUACUAUUUGUUUUUAGAUUUGAAAAAUAGUAAUAAAGAAGAUUUUGGUUGGAUCCAACCUCAAUACACAGUAGAUAAAGAAGCAGACCCAAUUACUGAACCUAAAGAAUUUGAAAUUGAACAUAAAAAGCAAGAAGAAACUUUAAGAAGGUUUCGACAAAGAGAAUGUAAUGUACUUAUUGGAACUAAAGUAUUAGAAGCAGGAAUUGAUUUACCUCGAUGUAAUUUAGUAAUUAAUUAUAAUAUACCACUUUCAUAUAAAUCCUAUUUAAGAUCUAAAAGUAGGGCAAAAACAUUAGAUGCUCAUUAUAUUUUAAUGUUUGAUGAAAAUGCUACUUCAAGUAUUUUAUCUUGUUUAAAACUUUAUAAAGACAUUAACAAGAUGUUAUUAAGUCAUUGUGCUUUAAAAGAUAUUAACAUGGAAAAUGAAAUCUAUGCUGAUAGAUAUAAUUGGUGUGUUACACCAUUCAAACCAGGAAAAAAGGAAGAUUCAGCAUUUGUGGAUAUGGCAUCAGCCAUUGGUCUUGUAAACAGGUACUGUGCAAAACUACCUAGUGAUACUUUUACCAAAUUAUCUCCAAUUUGGAAGAUACAAUCAGUAAUAUAUGAGAAUCAACCAAUGUUUGUCUGUAGUAUUCGACUUCCAAUCAAUUCACCAAUUAAACAUGAUAUACAUGGUCAUCCAAUGCCAUGUGAAAUUUUAGCAAAAAGAAUAGCUGCAUUAGAAGUGUGUAGACAAUUACAUUCUCACGGUGAACUAGAUGAUACCCUUCAACCUAUUACAAAAGAAUCAUUUCAUGCUUUGUUCAAUGCUGAUGAAGUACUGCCUGAUGCUGAAGAUUCCUUAAUACCUUGGGACACUGAAGAGCCUAGACCGGGAACAAAUAAACGUCGCCAAUACUACUAUAAAAGAAUUGCUGAGGCACUGAAUGAUUGUAGACCAGUUGAAGGCAAGCCUUGUCAUUUGUAUGCUAUAUUAUUAAAUAUGAAUUGUCCUGUGCCAGAAGAACAAAAUACUAGAGGUCGAAGAAUUCAUCCACCUGAAGAAUCUGUUCAUGGUUUUGGUAUACUUACAACAAAACAUAUUCCAAGUAUUCCACCAUUUCCUAUAUAUACUCGAUGUGGUGAAGUAUAUGUCAGUCUAAAGCCAAUUAAAACAAAUAUGUUGCUAACGCAACAUCAAUUGAAUGAUAUAGCCACAUUUUUAAAUUAUACAUUCACCAAUGUACUACGUUUGCAGAAAUGUCAUGUGGCAUUUGAUCCAACUACUACUCACAAUUGUUAUUAUAUUGUGCCAACUUUAAGAGAUACAAGUGGAUCAAUAGAUAUUGAUUGGAAUUUCUUAGAUAAUAUGCAUAAAUGUAAAGAUACUAAACUAAGUAUUAUAACUAAUGAAGAUAGAAUAAAUUUUCAACCUGAUAUUGAAGUAUUAAAAGAUGCUGUUGUUACACCUUGGUACAGAAACCAAGAACAACCUCAGUAUUUCUAUGUAGCAGAGAUUUGUACACAUCUAAAUCCAAAAUCACCAUUCCCUGGUUCUAUAGAAAACUAUAAAACAUUUGAAGAUUACUACAAUCUUAAAUAUAAUUUAAAAAUCCAAAAUCUUGAACAACCUCUUUUAGAUGUGGACCAUACUUCAGCAAGAUUAAAUUUUCUAACACCAAGGUACAUGAAUCGUAAAGGUGUAAUUUUACCUACAAGUAGUGAUGCGACUAAAAGAGCUAAACGAGAUAAUUUAAGUCAAAAACAAAUUCUUGUUCCUGAACUUUGUAAUGUACAUUUAUUUCCAGCAUCAAUGUGGCGUAAAGCUGUUUCUUUACCAUGUAUAUUGUACCGUAUUAAUGCUCUAUUGUUAGCUGAUGAGAUUCGUACUAUUGUUGCCAAGGAUAUAUCUUUAGGAUCGCUUAACUUAAGUUUUGAUCACAUCUGGGAGCCUUUAGAUUUUGGCUGGACCAUGAAAGAUGUAUUAAUAAAAAGAAAAGAACAAAAAGAAAAUAGUGUAGUAAAAAUUGUGGAACCGGUUGAAAUUGUUAAACAUUUUGUAGUUGAAGAAAUAAAUGAAGAAAAAGUAGAUAAAUCAAAUGACCCUAAUUGGAUGGAUAUAGGAACAUGGUCUAAUGACAUGGCUGAUUUUGCAAUGAAUAAUAUUGAUAAUACAACAAAUGUAAGGUAUUCGUCUCCAACUAGUUGGAUGGUUCAAAGUGAUAAUGAAUCAAGCACAUUUAGUGAUACUGAUUCAGAUGAUGAAAUUCAAGUUGAUGGAUUACAUUCGAAUGGUUUGCGCAUAGAAUUUAAAAAUACUUAUUUAGCUGAAGCUGUCGAUGAAAAUGAUUCCAAAACAAAUAAAUUAUUUUUUUUCAAAAACAAUGAAACAAAUGAAAAUUCAUGGAUUUGGAAUGAGAAUUGUCACUUUGUACCUAACUAUAAUUCUAAUGAAAUAGAUAAACAAAUUACAAAUUUAUUGUAUAAAAAAGAUGAUGAAAUAAUUAUUAAUCGAGAAGUAAAAAGUUGUACUAAUAUUGAUAGCUCAUCUUUAUUAAAAUUACCAUGGGAAUUAAAUUCAGACACUGGUUAUGGACUUCCAGACAUUAAUAUUUUAUCAAAUAACACUUCAUUUGUGCCUAAAGAUAAAAAAUGUAUUAAAAAUGGAGUACACUUAAACAAUAAAGCAAUUGACAAUAUCAAUAGAGUUCAUGAUACACAAAAUGAAACAUUUAGUUUUGACUUUCAGCCAGACUUAAACAAUCAUCCAGGACCAAGUCCUAGUGUUUUACUACAAGCAUUAACUAUGUCAAAUGCAAAUGAUGGAAUUAAUUUAGAACGUUUGGAAACAAUAGGAGAUUCAUUUUUAAAAUAUGCUAUCACAGCUUACUUAUACUGUACUCAUGAUAAUGUUCAUGAAGGAAAACUGAGCCAUCUUAGAUCGAAACAAGUCAGUAAUUUGAAUUUGUAUCGUCUAGGUAAAUUAAAAAUGUUUGGCGAACGUAUGAUAUCUACAAAAUUUGAACCUCAUGAUAAUUGGCUACCACCCUGUUACUUUGUGCCUCAUAAAUUAGAAAAAGCUCUUAUUAAUGCUAGUAUACCAACUUCAUUGUGGAAUAUGAUAACACUUCCCACAUUUAAGGAUCCUACAGAUAAAGAAAUUGAAGAAGUUAUCCAACAGUUCAAAGUGGGCUUCUCAAAUGAGGACUUAGAAAAUACUCCUUUGUUCGUGCCUUACAACCUUGUUACUCAACAUAGUAUUCCCGAUAAAAGUAUUGCUGACUGCGUAGAAGCUUUAAUUGGUGCUUAUUUGAUAUCUUGUGGAGCUCGUGGAGCAUUAUUAUUUAUGUCUUGGCUAGGAAUAAGAGUAUUACCUUCGCUAGACGAUUCAAAAUUAGGUUACCUCAAACCACCAUCUUCUCCAUUAUUACCAUUUAGGAUACCGUUUUCAAGAUCGUAGUUAUCUAUUACAAGCAAUGACUCAUGCUUCUUAUCAUCCCAAUCGUUUAACUGAUUGUUACCAACGAUUAGAGUUUCUGGGUGAUGCAGUUUUAGAUUAUUUAAUUACGCGACAUUUAUAUGAAGAUAAAAGACAACAUUCACCUGGAGCUUUGACAGAUCUUCGUUCAGCACUAGUCAAUAAUACAAUUUUUGCAUCCUUAGCUGUUAGAAAUGGUUUUCACAAGUAUUUUAAA